GUUCACCAAAAACAUCGCCUCUUGCACGAAUAAGAGGUCCCGCCUGCCCUGUGACUAUAUGUUUAACGGCCGCGGUAUUUUGACCGUGCGAAGGUAGCGCAAUCACUUGUCUUUUAAAUAGGGACCUGUAUGAAUGGCAUAACGAGGGCUUAGCUGUCUCCUUUUUCAAGUCAAUGAAAUUGAUCUCCCCGUGCAGAAGCGGGGAUGGGACCAUAAGACGAGAAGACCCUGUGGAGCUUUAGACACCAAGGCAGACCAUGUUAAGCACCCCAAAACAAAGGGCUAAACUAAAUGAACCCUGCCCGCAUGUCUUCGGUUGGGGCGACCAUGGGGUAAAACAAACCCCCCACGCGGAAAAGGAGUACUCCCACAGCUUAGAGCCCCCGCUCUAAUAAACAGAACUUCUGACCUAAAGAUCCGGCAAAGCCGAUCAACGGACCAAGUUACCCCAGGGAUAACAGCGCAAUCCUCUUUUAGAGCCCAUAUCGACAAGAGGGUUUACGACCUCGAUGUUGGAUCAGGACAUCCUAAUGGUGCAG
rnacentral:rRNA from 1 species